rnacentral:rRNA from 1 species
UACGUAGGGGGCUAGCGCUGUCCGGAAUCAUUGGGCGUAAAGCGCGUGUAGGCGGCCCGGUAAGUCCGCUGUGAAAGUCGGGGGCUCAACCCUCGAAUGCCGGUGGAUACUGUCGGGCUAGAGUACGGAAGAGGCGAGUGGAAUUCCUGGUGUAGCGGUGAAAUGCGCAGAUAUCAGGAGGAACACCAAUUGCGAAGGCAGCUCGCUGGGACGUCACUGACGCUGAGACGCGAAAGCGUGGGGAGCAAACAGG